GAUGAACGCUGGCGGCGUGCCUAAUACAUGCAAGUCGAGCGAACAGACGAGGAGCUUGCUCCUCUGACGUUAUCGGCGGACGGGUGAGUCACACGUGGAUAACCUACCUAUAAGACUGGGAUAACUUCGGGAAACCGGAGCUCAUACCGGAUAAUAUAUUGAACUGCAUGGUUCAAUAGUGGAAGACGGUUUUGCUGUCACUUAUAGAUGGAUCCGCGCCGCAUUAGCUAGUUGGUAAGGUAACGGCUUACCAAGGCAACGAUGCGUAGCCGACCUGAGAGGGUGAUCGGCCACACUGGAACUGAGACACGGUCCAGACUCCUACGGGAGGCAGCAGUAGGGAAUCUUCCGCAAUGGGCGAAAGCCUGACGGAGCAACGCCGCGUGAGUGAUGAAGGUCUUCGGAUCGUAAAACUCUGUAAUUAGGGAAGAACAAAUGUGUAAGUAACUAUGCACGUCUUGACGGUACCUAAUCAGAAAGCCACGGCUAACUACGUG
rnacentral:rRNA from 1 species